rnacentral:lncRNA from 1 species
AUGGAGGAAACUGAGGCAGCUGCACAGACACAAGACGCCGAAGUCCUAAGUCCCAGGCUGCGAGCGGUGGCUCCGGGACCCGGGCUGGGCUCGCGGGCGGCAGCAGGGGGCGCUCGCUGGUCCGACGGAGCCGGUCCGCGAGGGGAAGCGCCCGGGAAGGGUCGGGUCGGCUCCCCGCUCCCCCACCUCUCCGCGGGGUGUCUCCGCGGCCGGGCCGGGCGGGGCUGCGGUGUGUUACGACCCGGCCCCCAGCCCCACGCCCGCCCCGCCCUCCCUGCUGGCUCCCGGGCGGCGGAAGGGAGAGCAGCGCGCACCGGCGCCCGGCCCAGCCCGACUCCCCCGGAGGAGGGUCCCGUCCCGGUACCCGCCCGCGCGCCAGCUCCGCGUCCCGGCUCCCGGCUCCCACCGACCCCUCCAGAGCUGCACGCGUCCUGCCCGGGGGCCGGAGACCCCCGCCGCCCGGCCCCUCCGCUCUCCCGAGGUGCGGCCGCCGGGAGGCAGGGAGGGAGGCAGAGGCGCGGGGCGGGGUCCGGGCGCGGGGGGUCCGGGGGUCCGGGGCUGACGCCUCCCGCGAAGCGCACCUUCUGCCCACCUCGGUCCGCCCGCAGCCCCGCCUCCCUCCCGCGCCCGCGCCCGCCUCCAGUCUCCGCCCUCCCAGCCGCGCGCCCCGCUCUCCGCUCCCCUGCAGGCGCCGCUGGGGCGAGAGCCCGCGAGCUGAGCGGGCGCAGGGUCCUCCGCGCCUCCUCCGCGCCUCCUCGGAGAACCGGCCCAGCCUGGCCCGCGCCCCCAGGUCCAGCGCGUCCGGCAUCCGCGUGGCGGGAGGGCGCGACUUUCUCCGGUCCCGCGUGGGACGGGGACGGCGGCGGGACAACUUGGAAAACUUCUCGGGGGCAGACGGCAGGGACCCCGGGCGCCGGUGGAGGAGGAUGUAGGAGGGCGGCGGCCGGUCCCGGGUGUUCCAGACCUCCUAGGCCCCGCUCGUCCAGGCCAUGGGGCUCCAGCGCCCUCGGCGCCUCUGGAGGGGCGCCGCUCUCGUCUAGCCGAACCGGGCAGCGCUGUCGUCCACGGGGUGCACCGGGCGGGCAGCGCUCCCUC